UCUGUCAGUCAGACACAGAGGUCGAGCCGUGGAGCAGAUCUCGCGGCGGGGCUCCUCCCGGGGCUGGUACGUCCUGCCGGCCGCCGGCGACCUCCUCGUCGAUGAGUACGUGCAGCAGCCCGGAGAGGCGCCUGCAGCUGCAGGGGCCGCCAAAGGCUGGAUCUCGCAGAAUCGUGAGAAUCUUCACAUGCAUAGGUACUUGAGAAAGGGAGGGGAAUCAGAAUUGUUGUGGAGGAAAUGAAAAUAUCUUGUUAUUUGGCUGCUAACAUCCAUGUUCUUUUAGACUGAACAUUGCCAUGGGCGUUUCUCUACGCAGCGAAUAUAUUAGAUCAAGCAUCAUAUCAUGGACACCAUAAGACUUUUCUGUCUUGAUAAUGUUGUCUACAGGUUGGACCCUACUUUUGUUUAUGAGCUCAUUCAAGUAACUCUCCUAGCUCAAAUGGGUCAAUUUCAUGUUUACAUGAUAGAUGAUACACAAAUCUUCAGCCAUCCAUCUCCAUAUGAACCGGUCUUGCUUAAUUUUGUAGUCUUCUGGAUAUAUGCUUACAUAUAAUAAAUAAUGUGAAGGUAGAUCAUAGAACGACAACAUAAUCUUUAGUCUUGAACAAAUUAUGGUAGACUAGAGAUAGAACACUAUACGAACCAGACACAUACCGACGAUAUGGAAACUAGCAAAGAAAUAGUAAAAGAAGUUCCUGACUUGUAGAUUAUGUCAACGUGAUAAUCUGGAGUCAAGCUUCUUUUACUACUAAUUUUGAUCUACCUUGUCAUCGAUAGGAUUAGUUAUUAUAUCUAAGCAUGUGUUCAGAAGAUUAGGAGAUUAAGCAAGGUCACUUGAUAUGUAAAUGGAUGGCUGAAUGUUUUGUGUAUCAUGAAGAACAAGAGACUAGCCUAUUUGAGCUCGGUGGUAGAGUUACUCAAUGAGAUCAUAAAUAGAAGCAUGAUCGAUCAAUAGACAUCAAUGUUGAUGAAGGCAAUGAAAAAAAAUCUUAUGGUAUACAUGAUAUGAUGAUUGAUCCCAUAUGUUUUUGCCAAGUGAAGAAACCCACUUGCAUGGCACUGAGUGAAAACUGUCUAUCCAAAGGCAAGAUUUGAAUAUUAUCCAUCCGAAAGAGAAUGUCACAUAUGGUCGCCAUCAAAAGAAGCAACAAUGUUGAGUGAGCAUUUAUGUUCUACAUGUGUUAGGUUUAAAAUAUUGUGCUGAACACUUCCAUUCUUGCCAAUUGAGAUGGUGAGACUCAGGAACACUGCAUUUGCCAUGGUGUUUUGAUUUGUCUUGUGCAGCGACAUGAAAUUCUUAUUGUAAUUGUACCCACUAAUGACUGAAUACUGCUGUCACUUCGGUUAGAUUCAAGAAGCGCCAAGUUUCGGCGGCGCCUCCUGCACUUUGCUAAUGAUGAACUUCCCUCUCCAUUUCUUUCUUUUGUAAGGAAGAGUUAUGCACUUAUGAUGUAUGGCUGGCUGGUUAAUUUUCUGUCAAUUCAACAACCAGUUUGUAGGGCGGCCACUGCAAUUUGCUCGUAUGCACCAUUAGUUAUUAUAUAUGUACUGAUGUCUGGCUUGCUUGCUCUCCUGCAUUCUCGAUUACACUCCCUUGUUUGUAACAGCUUUAUUUCAGACUCGCAAACUAAGAGGCCGCAUUCAGUUUGUCCUAUGUUCUGAAGUUCCAUUUUCUGUUUGUCAUUUUGAUCAAAUAAACAGGGAAGUCAGCAGUGUCAUUUCGAUGUACCUGCUUAGGACCUGCAUUGAGUACAUCUUUCUGUUGGAAUACAAGUGGAACUUGAGUUGCCAUUUCGUCUCGUGGGUUGGUGAUGUACAUCUUUCUGUCAAUCACGCUGGAGUGGAAGUAUUGCCCUCAACUGAUGCAACGCUUUCUGGGCGAGAGAAUGAUUGGAUGUUGCCCCCAACUCAAGUGACUCUUCUAUCUCUGUACAGGGGAGCAAAUCAUGAGAUGUUUUAUUUUGCUAUUUUGCGACAAAAUCAUAUGGUGCCGCAGACAAAUAAGACCCGUCUACUAGCAACUUGAUAUGAUAAAUUCACAGAAGCAUCUUGUUCAGUUGCUCCCA